AGGAGGUCAUCUUUUCUCUGCUGAUAGGUAGUGCCAGUGUCAAGUCACCAGAGGCUCUUUCAGAGUUCUCCACUCUGGAUGCGUCUGUCGUUAUUGAGCAGCUUUAGAGUAGUUCCCACGCUAGAUAUAUGAUUGGAUGCCUGAACAACCAAAUAUAUUCCAAGUGGAGCAAUUGGAACGCCUGAAGCAAGAAUUGCCAGAGCUUAAGAGCUGUUUGUGUCCCACUGUUAGCCGCUUUGUUCCCUCAUCUUUGUGUGGGGAGUCUGAUAUCCAUGUGGAUGCCAACGGCAUUGAUAACGUGGAGAAUGCUUAGUUUUUAUUGCACAGAGGUCAUUUUGGGGGCAUGCACCGCUGUUCUGGGUAUUCAUUUUUCAUCACUGAGCAUCGCUGAUCUAUGCCUUUUGGGCUUCUCAGUUCAAUGAAGCAAUAAUGAAGUAUUUAACUCUUUCACUACAGUUCUUGCAAGUAUGCUAUUUCAAUUACUUGGCCAGGUAUAAUUGCCAGUCAGUCUCUUUAUAGUGAGAAAAUUUAUUGGUUAGUAAUAUAAAUAUUUUAAAUUAAAUAUAUAAAUCUAUAAUGUUAAACAUAUGUUCAUUAAAAGCAUAGCACUUUGAAAUUAACUAUAUAAAUAGC
rnacentral:sRNA from 1 species